rnacentral:lncRNA from 1 species
UAUGAUGACAACUGGUACCUCGGCCGUACUGAUGCCACCCUGAGCUGUGACGUCCGCAGCAACCCAGAGCCCACGGGCUAUGACUGGAGCACGACCUCAGGCACCUUCCCGACCUCCGCAGUGGCCCAGGGCUCCCAGCUGGUCAUCCACGCAGUGGACAGUCUGUUCAAUACCACCUUCGUCUGCACAGUCACCAAUGCCGUGGGCAUGGGCCGCGCUGAGCAGGUCAUCUUUGUCCGAGGUGAGUGGGUCUUGGGGGCCGUGUGUGGAGACCUGGGUCCGCUCCCCUGGAGUUCUGCCCUUCAGGACUUGGGGCUGCACUGGGGGAGGCUGCGCCGCCGACCUGGGAGGGAUGCAGACCUGCCUGGCUGAGGGGAGAUGAGGGUUGGCCUUCCCCUCGUGGCCUCAGACUGGGGUCUGGAUUUGGGGUGUCGGGGUAGGUGAAGGCAGCA